AUUGAACGCUGGCGGCAGGCCUAACACAUGCAAGUCGAGCGGAUGAAGGGAGCUUGCUCCUGGAUUCAGCGGCGGACGGGUGAGUAAUGCCUAGGAAUCUGCCUGGUAGUGGGGGAUAACGUCCGGAAACGGGCGCUAAUACCGCAUACGUCCUGAGGGAGAAAGGGGGGGAUCUUCGGACCUCACGCUAUCAGAUGAGCCUAGGUCGGAUUAGCUAGUUGGUGAGGUAAAGGCCUACCAAGGCGACGAUCCGUAACUGGUCUGAGAGGAUGAUCAGUCACACUGGAACUGAGACACGGUCCAGACUCCUACGGGAGGCAGCAGUGGGGAAUAUUGGACAAUGGGCGAAAGCCUGAUCCAGCCAUGCCGCGUGUGUGAAGAAGGUCUUCGGAUUGUAAAGCACUUUAAGUUGGGAGGAAGAGCAGUAAGUUAAUACCUUGCUGUUUUGACGUUACCAACAGAAUAAGCACCGGCUAACUUCGUG
rnacentral:rRNA from 1 species